UGCAAGUCGAACGAUGAAGCCCUUCGGGGUGGAUUAGUGGCGAACGGGUGAGUAACACGUGGGCAAUCUGCCCUUCACUCUGGGACAAGCCCUGGAAACGGGGUCUAAUACCGGAUAACACUCUGUCCCGCAUGGGACGGGGUUAAAAGCUCCGGCGGUGAAGGAUGAGCCCGCGGCCUAUCAGCUUGUUGGUGGGGUAAUGGCCUACCAAGGCGACGACGGGUAGCCGGCCUGAGAGGGCGACCGGCCACACUGGGACUGAGACACGGCCCAGACUCCUACGGGAGGCAGCAGUGGGGAAUAUUGCACAAUGGGCGAAAGCCUGAUGCAGCGACGCCGCGUGAGGGAUGACGGCCUUCGGGUUGUAAACCUCUUUCAGCAGGGAAGAAGCGAAAGUGACGGUACCUGCAGAAGAAGCGCCGGCUAACUACGUGCCAGCAGCCGCGGUAAUACGUAGGGCGCAAGCGUUGUCCGGAAUUAUUGGGCGUAAAGAGCUCGUAGGCGGCUUGUCACGUCGGAUGUGAAAGCCCGGGGCUUANCCCCGGGUCUGCAUUCGAUACGGGCUAGCUAGAGUGUGGUAGGGGAGAUCGNAUUNCUGGUGUAGCGGUGAAUGCGCAGAUAUCAGGAGGAACACCGGUGGCGAAGGCGGAUCUCUGGGCCUUACUGACNCUGAGNACNAAAGCGNGGGGAGCGACAGGAUAGAUACCCUGGUAGUCCCGCCGUAA
rnacentral:rRNA from 1 species